AUUGAACGCUGGCGGCAUGCCUUACACAUGCAAGUCGAACGGCAGCAUGAUCUAGCUUGCUAGAUUGAUGGCGAGUGGCGAACGGGUGAGUAAUACAUCGGAACGUGCCCUGUAGUGGGGGAUAACUAGUCGAAAGAUUAGCUAAUACCGCAUACGACCUGAGGGUGAAAGUGGGGGACCGCAAGGCCCCAUGCUAUAGGAGCGGCCGAUGUCUGAUUAGCUAGUUGGUGAGGUAAAGGCUCACCAAGGCGACGAUCAGUAGCUGGUCUGAGAGGACGAUCAGCCACACUGGGACUGAGACACGGCCCAGACUCCUACGGGAGGCAGCAGUGGGGAAUUUUGGACAAUGGGCGAAAGCCUGAUCCAGCAAUGCCGCGUGUGUGAAGAAGGCCUUCGGGUUGUAAAGCACUUUUGUCCGGAAAGAAAUGGCUCUGGUUAAUACCUGGGGUCGAUGACGGUACCGGAAGAAUAAGGACCGGCUAACUACGUG
rnacentral:rRNA from 1 species